rnacentral:rRNA from 1 species
GAUGAACGCUGGCGGCGUGCCUAAUACAUGCAAGUCGAGCGAACGGACGAGAAGCUUGCUUUUCUGAUGUUAGCGGCGGACGGGUGAGUAACACGUGGAUAACCUACCUAUAAGACUGGGAUAACUUCGGGGAACCGGAGCUAAUACCGGAUAAUAUUUUGAACCGCAUGGUUCAAAAGUGAAAGACGGUCUUGCUGUCACUUAUAGAUGGAUCCGCGCUGCAUUAGCUAGUUGGUAAGGUAACGGCUUACCAAGGCAACGAUGCAUAGCCGACCUGAGAGGGUAAUCGGCCACACUGGAACUGAGACACGGUCCAGACUCCUACGGGAGGCAGCAGUAGGGAAUCUUCCGCAAUGGGCGAAAGCCUGACGGAGCAACGCCGCGUGAGUGAUGAAGGUCUUCGGAUCGUAAAACUCUGUUAUUAGGGAAGAACAUAUGUGUAAGUAACUGUGCACAUCUUGACGGUACCUAAUCAGAAAGCCACGGCUAACUACGUG